CCCGAAGAAAACAAUAAAAAACCUUAUAUUAUACGACAUUAUAAUUUAUUAUUUUAUAAUAUUUUAAUAUAAUAAUAUGCACAGAGUGAAUUUUUUUUAUAAUUUUUUUUUUUUUAAACUCGGUUUUCUCAAUCGAAUUUCACAUACCUUUUUUCUAUUAUCUUUACUAUAGUAUAUAUAUAUAUAUUUAUUUAUAACAGGUCAGUGGCGUAUUUACAGGGGGGUAAUAUGGGGCAAAUCAACUCCUUGAGCUGUUUUUUCUCUACUGAAAUAUACCAAUGAAAUUUUUGUUGAUUUUAUUUUUGCGAUUUAGAACAAGCUUAAUAUGUAUUGGUGACAUACGACCAAUGAAGUUUUAAUGUCAAGAAUACACCCAAGAUUUUUAUUAUUAUUUUUUUUUUUUUGGUGGGAGGAGGCUAAAUAAAAUUAUUUUUAAUUACGUAUAAAAACUGAAAGCAUGGUAUGAACUUUUACUCACUUGUUCAUGAAAUAAAUUUAAAUAAAUAAUUAAUUU